AACUGUGGGAUCGUGGAGAGCAUCUUGAACUGGGUGAAGUUCAAAGCUCAGACGCAGCUCAAUAAGAAGUGCUCCUCUGUGAAGUACAGCAAGAUCAAAGGAAUCCCAAAACUGGACGACGCCAACGACGCUGGAGGGAAACACUCGGCUGAAUGCACCCUCAUCCUGACGGAGGGCGACUCCGCCAAGUCUCUGGCCGUCUCCGGACUGGGAGUCAUAGGACGAGAUCGAUACGGAGUGUUCCCGCUGAGAGGAAAGAUCCUGAACGUGAGGGAGGCCACGCACAAACAGAUUACGGAAAAUGC